rnacentral:rRNA from 1 species
CAGCAGCAGCCGCGGGAAUACGAAGGGUGCAAGCGUUAAUCGGAAUUACUGGGCGUAAAGCGUGCGUAGGCGGUGAGUUAAGUCUGCUGUGAAAUCCCCGGGCUCAACCUGGGAAUGGCAGUGGAUACUGGCUCGCUAGAGUGUGUCAGAGGAUGGUGGAAUUCCCGGUGUAGCGGUGAAAUGCGUAGAGAUCGGGAGGAACAUCAGUGGCGAAGGCGGCCAUCUGGGACAACACUGACGCUGAGGCACGAAAGCGUGGGGAGCAAACAGGAUUAGAUACCCGCGUAGUCCCUGUCUCUUAUAC